UACGGAGGGGGCUAGCGUUGUUCGGAAUUACUGGGCGUAAAGCGCACGUAGGCGGCUUUGUAAGUUAGAGGUGAAAGCCCGGGGCUCAACUCCGGAAUUGCCUUUAAGACUGCAUCGCUAGAAUUGUGGAGAGGUAAGUGGAAUUCCGAGUGUAGAGGUGAAAUUCGUAGAUAUUCGGAAGAACACCAGUGGCGAAGGCGGUCUGCUGGGCAGUUGCUGGACACUGAGGCGCGACAGCGUGGGGAGCAAACAGGG
rnacentral:rRNA from 1 species